rnacentral:rRNA from 1 species
AACCCCUGUGACAUACCUUACUGUUGCCUCGGCGGAUCAGCCCGCUCCCGGUAAAACGGGACGGCCCGCCAGAGGACCCCUAAACUCUGUUUCUAUAUGUAACUUCUGAGUAAAACCAUAAAUAAAUCAAAACUUUCAACAACGGAUCUCUUGGUUCUGGCAUCGAUGAAGAACGCAGCAAAAUGCGAUAAGUAAUGUGAAUUGCAGAAUUCAGUGAAUCAUCGAAUCUUUGAACGCACAUUGCGCCCGCCAGUAUUCUGGCGGGCAUGCCUGUUCGAGCGUCAUUUCAACCCUCAAGCCCUCGGGUUUGGUGUUGGGGAUCGGCGAGCCUUUCUGGCAAGCCGGCCCCGAAAUCUAGUGGCGGUCUCGCUGCAGCCUCCAUUGCGUAGUAGUAAAACCCUCGCAACUGGAACGCGGCGCGGCCAAGCCGUUAAACCCCCAACUUCUGAAUGUUGACCUCGGAUCAGGUAGGAAUACCCGCUGAACUUAAGCAUAUCA